rnacentral:lncRNA from 1 species
GGAACAAUGACAGUACCAGCUCUUGGAUGGCAGAAAACACAGAUACUGUUAAACACCCUGCAGCACACUGACUUACUUGGCACCAGAUUGAUGGGGGGAAGUGCUUCUGUGUGUGUGUGUGUCUUACUGGAUGAUAAAUAAAGUACUGUUUGGCCAAUGAGGCAGCAAGUUAGGUGGGACUAGGAGUCAAGGAGGAUUCUGGGAAAUGUAGUAAAGAAGUGGUGAUCCAGGCAGGAAGUGACAUAGCAGGGAGACUCAUAAACAAGGGCAAGAAGGAAGUGGGCCCCUUCUCUCUUCCUCCUGGUCUCUGCUCUGGAGUCGCCAUGUGAUCCACCAGAAAGAGAGGGCACCAGCAGAAGGCAUCCUCUAUAAGAUAAAUCUUAUAAAAUAUAUAUAUUUAUGAUAAUUAAGACUGAGCCAGCAGAUGAGAAAUCCUAGCUAUUGGGCAAGCAGCAUUUGUACCAAAUAUAAGUCUCUGUAUAUUAUUUUGGGCCCUAACUAGGCGGGCAGAACUUGGGUGGCUGGUGGAAAGCGCCCACAUGGCAGUAGGGCUCAGGUGGCUUUUGGCAAAAAGAUUUAUCAUAACACAAGAUGAGAGUAGUGGCAAGCUAGUUAAACCCUCAUGUAUGCAAACAGUGUGCUGAAAACUAAACGUCAAAUGUGUCCACUUAUGCAAACAGUUAUUUCUAAUUAUAUAUGUGUGUACCUCUUCUGGACAUAGUGAAAUGGCAGCGACACUCGGGAAAAUGUUUCAGAAUCCAGGGAAUCAGUUAUUAGGAACUUUCAGAUAUAGGCAACAAGAAACUUAACUCAAAUUACUUUUAAAAAUUCAUUGUCUAGAAAGACUGCAAAAGAUACUUCUGAGAUUUUAGAAUUGAGUGAAGGAAGAGAGUAAAGAGAAGUAGAGAGGGAAGGGAGUGAAUACAAAAGGACAGGAGGAGGAGAGGGGGAGUGUGUGGAGAGAGAGGGAGGAAGUAAGUAGAGGGCAGAGGAAAGGGUCCCUGAAGGGAGAAGAGAGAGUGAAGAAGCAGGGCAGCACAGGCAAGAGCGGCAUAGAUGUGGGGUCUGCAAGCUUAGAGGCUCUGGAUGAAGGAUUCUCCCUUCAUCUUCUUCUGUCUCAUCCAGAUUCUCCCUUGUCUAGGACAUGGGGUAUCCUGUGCUUCCGGGGUGCUACAGAAAGGACUUCACCUAGUAGAGACAUAUGCCCACUGAUGGAUAAUCCAGGUUGCCUGUGGAUGAAGUGCAAUGCUCUGCCAUGUCCUUCAGCAUGAGGAAUGGAAAAAAGUCUCAAUUUCUGCAGAGUAUACAUUGGACAGGUAAUAUGAACUACAUCUAUAUAGUAUGCUGCACGAAAGGAUGGAAAAUCCUAGGCAGGCUUUAUGGUAACUUCACAGCGUCCUAUUGCUAAAAGCCCUUGUAUUAGACAUCCCACUUUCCCUCCAUCUUUGGCCAUUCAAAAUAUUUGAGAUACUAUUUUUAUUUUGAGAUAUUAUUUUAAGAUUGGGGAUACCUGAAUUAUAGUGUUAGUCAGCUUUGCAUCUCUUUAUUCCUAACACAGAUUUUUAUGAAAUUAUGAUAUUUCUUUUGACUAAUGGCUGUGGAAAUUUCAGAAGUUCCCAAUUGGCCGACCCCAAUGGCUUAGACCUCUAGUGGAGGUUGUACAACCAUUAUGCCCUCAGGGUAUCCAACAGUGCCCCAUCUCUUAAAAUCCCACAGGACCACCAGAUACCAGCAUCCCUGAGAACAAGCCCUUACAUAUGAUUCUUUGAGGAACCCUAGUCCAAACUGUAGCCAUUAGUAAACAAGAAAAUGGGAUUGAGUUUUCUCUCUAGCUCAGCUUACAAAAAGUUUUCUCUCUAGCUCAGCUUACAAAAAG